rnacentral:lncRNA from 1 species
AAAUAGUUUAUUUGGAAUAAUGUGUACCAGUACUUAUUUGUACAUUUCACUGAGAGUCAGUUAAAUUUUCAGCUUCUAUAAAGUAAAUGAUUUCACAAUUUUACAUGAGUAAAUACAAGACAUUUUCAUCAUAAUGCAUGUAGUUGUUCUGACAUCCAGGUGUCAUGAAUUGGCUUUUAAAAGGUGGACGCUCUGACACAUAGAUGAUCAUGCUAGAAUCCCAUAAAAAUUCAGUAACAUUCAUAAUUCAUAUUACAUAAAUUGCUGUGCCAUUAAAUGUUAAUACAUUUUAUGCAUGUUCUUUGGAUGUGCAUCUAUUAAAA